ACGAACGCUGGCGGCGUGCUUCACACAUGCAAGUCGCACGGAAAGGCUCCAGCUUGCUGGAGUACUCGAGUGGCGAACGGGUGAGUAACACGUGGGUAAUCUGCCCUGCACUCUGGGAUAAGCCUGGGAAACUGGGUCUAAUACUGGAUAUGACCUUUCUCCUUAUGGGGGUUGGUGGAAAGUUUUUCGGUGUAGGAUGAGCCCGCGGCCUAUCAGCUUGUUGGUGGGGUGAUGGCCUACCAAGGCGACGACGGGUAGCCGGCCUGAGAGGGUGAUCGGCCACAUUGGGACUGAGAUACGGCCCAGACUCCUACGGGAGGCAGCAGUGGGGAAUAUUGCACAAUGGGCGGAAGCCUGAUGCAGCGACGCCGCGUGAGGGAUGACGGCCUUCGGGUUGUAAACCUCUUUCAGCAGGGACGAAGCGUAAGUGACGGUACCUGCAGAAGAAGCACCGGCUAACUAUGUG
rnacentral:rRNA from 1 species